UACGAAGGGGGCUAGCGUUGCUCGGAAUCACUGGGCGUAAAGCGCACGUAGGCGGAUUCUUAAGUCAGGGGUGAAAUCCUGGAGCUCAACUCCAGAACUGCCUUUGAUACUGAGGGUCUUGAGUUCGGGAGAGGUGAGUGGAACUGCGAGUGUAGAGGUGAAAUUCGUAGAUAUUCGGAGGAACACCAGUGGCGAAGGCGGCUCACUGGUCCGGUACUGACGCUGAGGUGCGAAAGCGUGGGGAGCAAACAGG
rnacentral:rRNA from 1 species